rnacentral:rRNA from 1 species
GCGGAUGAAGGGAGCUUGCUCCUGGAUUCAGCGGCGGACGGGUGAGUAAUGCCUAGGAAUCUGCCUGGUAGUGGGGGAUAACGUCCGGAAACGGGCGCUAAUACCGCAUACGUCCUGAGGGAGAAAGUGGGGGAUCUUCGGACCUCACGCUAUCAGAUGAGCCUAGGUCGGAUUAGCUAGUUGGUGGGGUAAAGGCCUACCAAGGCGACGAUCCGUAACUGGUCUGAGAGGAUGAUCAGUCACACUGGAACUGAGACACGGUCCAGACUCCUACGGGAGGCAGCAGUGGGGAAUAUUGGACAAUGGGCGAAAGCCUGAUCCAGCCAUGCCGCGUGUGUGAAGAAGGUCUUCGGAUUGUAAAGCACUUUAAGUUGGGAGGAAGGGCAGUAAGUUAAUACCUUGCUGUUUUGACGUUACCAACAGAAUAAGCACCGGCUAACUUCGUGCCAGCAGCCGCGGUAAUACGAAGGGUGCAAGCGUUAAUCGGAAUUACUGGGCGUAAAGCGCGCGUAGGUGGUUCAGCAAGUUGGAUGUGAAAUCCCCGGGCUCAACCUGGGAACUGCAUCCAAAACUACUGAGCUAGAGUACGGUAGAGGGUGGUGGAAUUUCCUGUGUAGCGGUGAAAUGCGUAGAUAUAGGAAGGAACACCAGUGGCGAAGGCGACCACCUGGACUGAUACUGACACUGAGGUGCGAAAGCGUGGGGA